GGCAAUUUCGUUAAAAUAUGUCCACACUGAUUUUCGAGUGUCCUAUGGGUUGUCAUUUAUAUUUCAUCAAAACUAACAACAUUUUAUAUCAGGAAGUGGAUUUUAUUACAUUGCUAUUAUAAUUUCUUUAUAAGACACAAACAAACAGCUUGCCAAUCCAUUUAUUAUUAAAGAUAUGAAGAAAAUUUAAUUUUGAGGCACCCAAUUUUGACGUGUCCCACAGCAACCAGUCUGUAUAAAUGUUCAUUUUAUUUACCAAUGUGAAGCAGUAUUAUUCAAGUAAAGGUAUAAAUAAAUCACAAAGGGUGAGAGCUAUGAUUAUAAAACGUUAAAUUUACGUCCUUUUAUAGUAAUUAUUAGUAUUUUUAUCAAUUAAAUCGUGUCCUACGAUUUCGACCAUGUGCGGAAUUCCGUUUUGUAACCGUUAUAUACUCUAAAAUAAAGAUAAAAACUACUAAAUAUGUAUUUUUUUCACAUAAAUGGCAACAUUUCUAUUGAAUCCACCAUUUUGAAGAGGUUGUCAUAGAAAACUCGAACCGUCAGUCGCAGUCAGUCGUGUCGAAACUUCUAAAGCGUUACCGUGCAAAAAUUUCGCUCCGACUUGUAACUGGGAUUUUUCGUGGGGAAAAUGCCUCUGACCAAUGCUGAGAAGCAACGACGCUAUAGGGAAAGAUUAAAAGACAACCCUGAAAAAAAA